rfam:Lachnospiraceae bacterium A4 genomic scaffold acPFC-supercont1.16, whole genome shotgun sequence.
AGAAGCCUGUCUGCGAAGGUCUAACCAACCAGCAGUAGCGAGUCUUGGGUGGGCUGCAGUAAUGUUGCCUGCUAAGCGUAGACAGCGAGAAAAUAGGGAAAGUGAUUGAGCCUCGAAAUUUUGACAUUUGGAGGGCUGACGCUCUAAUUUCGGCGGAAAGCAACACAGGCGGCAUUGCUAUGGUGAGAUGCAGUCUGCUUCUGCGGGGUCAAAGAGCU